AGAGAGAGUGAAAAGACAUGGUGUUUUUACACCCUUUACUAUAAGAGAAAAUAUUUUCACCAUGGUAACUGCAAUGAAUUUGCCUUUA